rnacentral:rRNA from 1 species
UACGUAGGCAGCAAGCGUUGUUCGGAGUUACUGGGCGUAAAGGGUGUGUAGGCGGUUGUUUAAGUUUGGUGUGAAAUCUCCCGGCUCAACUGGGAGGGUGCGCCGAAUACUGAAUGACUAGAGUGCGGGAGAGGAAAGUGGAAUUCCUGGUGUAGCGGUGAAAUGCGUAGAUAUCAGGAAGAACACCCGUGGCUAAGGCGGCUCUCUAGUACGGUACUGACGCUGAGACGCGAAAGCGUGGGGAGCGAACAGG